rnacentral:lncRNA from 1 species
CUUCAGCAAGACUCACGUCUCCAACAACCGAACUCCCCAAGAUCUUAACAGCAUUUGUUUGCCAUGAGAGGCUGCAUGACUUGGAGCCAGUCAAUCUACGGUGACAGCAAAGCAGUUGUGACUCUAAUGUACUGCCACCAAAAACACUUUCUUUUCCGUCUCUCAGCCUUAGCAGGAUCAUCUGAGCCACUGCCAGUUCAGAGUGAGCUGGGGCUGCUUUUCCAGGAGGGCAGUUGGGGACCUGACUUUUGAGGAGAUUCUGAGGUUUACUGAAGGAGCAAACCCUAUGGGGUUAGACAGAGUUUUGUGAAAUCUGAGCUCUGCCUUCUCUGUACUUCAGUUACUGCCUCUGUAAAAUGGGGGUGUGGACACUGUAGACAUUAAAUGGCAGUGUAUAAAGGAGGCACCAUCUGGAGCAUUUGUCCAGCCUGCAAUGAUGCCGUUUGUCUGAGAAGGUUGUAGGGAUCAUUUCUGGUUUGAAUCUCAGCCCUCUUCCCAGCUCAGCCACCAGCCAUCUGGAAUUGUGGGAGAGGUCAGACGGCUGCAAAGCCUCUAUGUGGAAUUGGAACUAAAUACACAUAUUUAUCAGUAUUUAAUGGAAGACUGCAGGAUGCUUGCAGAGUCUACAGAAGGCACUGGUAAGGUGGCUCUUUUAGUCUGGGAACAAGAACUGGGCAAUGGAUGCCUCAGAGGCUGAGUUGGACUGACAGAGCUGUGACCAGUGUCUAGAACCUGGGAUUCUCCACUAAAGUCAGAUUCUCAGGAGAGAGUUGGAUUGGCCCAACUUCAGUCAUGUGCCACCCCUCUGCUGCCCAGGAGGGAUGGGUGGCUUGAGGGACAGUCCUGCCAAAAACACCUGGGGAGGAAGUUUCUCAAAAGAAGUAAUGUGGAGGAGCUGUUCCCAAAGGAAGCGGGGGAUUCUGAGAAGGCAGGAAUAACUGAGGCCAUGAGCACAGACAGAGGAUGAAGCAGAGGUCAAGGUCAUGUGACCAGAGGAGAGAACUGGAGCAA